CUGCGUCGGCGGCUGGCGAGAGAGAAACGUCUGAGGUACAGCACAGGAGUAAAAGGGUGAGGAUGGACAGCGUUCUCUAGAUUACCACAGUGGUGCCAACUUUCACUUGCGGCUAUCCAAGAGCGUACGAUGUGAUGCGGUUCAGGUCGACCCGGAUGUUAUCAUAAACAUCAUAUGCAUUUACCAAU